GAUGAAGAACGCUGCGAAAUGCGAUACGUAAUGUGAAUUGCAGAAUUCAGUGAAUCAUCGAGUCUUUGAACGCACAUUGCGCCCCCUGGUAUUCCGGGGGGCAUGCCUGUCCGAGCGUCAUUGCUGCCCUCAAGCACGGCUUGUGUGUUGGGCCUCCGUCCUCCUCCCGGGGGACGGGCCCGAAAGGCAGCGGCGGCACCGCGUCCGGUCCUCGAGCGUAUGGGGCUUCGUCACCCGCUCUUGUAGGCCNNGCCGGCGCUUGCCGACACAUCAAUCUUUUUUCCAGGUUGACCUCGGAUCAGGUAGGGAUACCCGCUGAACUUAAGCAUAUCAAUAAGCGGAGGA
rnacentral:misc_RNA from 1 species